CUUUCUUUCCCUCAUUUUUUUUUUCAUUGACAUAUUUAUAAACGUUUUCUUUUCGUCUACCUGUAGCUGGCAUUUACCCCAACUUUUUUUGUUCUCAGCUGUGGCUGAAUAUUCUUGCUUCAUUGCCGCCUUCCUUCUUCAUUUCCAGUUGACAGCAUCAUUGUAAAGAUGAGUUAAAAAGAAAAUUGGAAACACUGCUUACUUCACAACUAUGCACUAAGUGCCCUAGCUAUGCAGUCUUGCAGAGAAGCUCACAAUGAGAGCAUGCUGCACCACAGACAGGUCUUUUCUCUGAAGAUGUCAACCAAUCUUGCUGGAACAGCUGGUGUUUUACCAUUGCUGUUGUGUUGCUGUGCAAAGGUGGCCUUGAGCAGAUUGAUACAGGACAAGAUUCACCGUAUCACAUACGCAUUUCAGAUCUGAUUUCUUUUUCAUCCUUAUUUAUCAUCCUUUUUAUUCCUGAGCCCGAUAGGAUCAAAGCUGGGAAAUACCAUCUCCUGUGGGAAAGUGAUCCCUGCUUUCCAGAGGG